rnacentral:rRNA from 1 species
UGAACGCUGGCGGCGUGCCUCAUACAUGCAAGUCGAGCGAACAGACGAGGAGCUUGCUCCUCUGACGUUAGCGGCGGACGGGUGAGUAACACGUGGAUAACCUACCUAUAAGACUGGGAUAACUUCGGGAAACCGGAGCUAAUACCGGAUAAUAUAUUGAACCGCAUGGUUCAAUAGUGAAAGACGGUUUUGCUGUCACUUAUAGAUGGAUCCGCGCCGCAUUAGCUAGUUGGUAAGGUAACGGCUUACCAAGGCGACGAUGCGUAGCCGACCUGAGAGGGUGAUCGGCCACACUGGAACUGAGACACGGUCCAGACUCCUACGGGAGGCAGCAGUAGGGAAUCUUCCGCAAUGGGCGAAAGCCUGACGGAGCAACGCCGCGUGAGUGAUGAAGGUCUUCGGAUCGUAAAACUCUGUUAUUAGGGAAGAACAAAUGUGUAAGUAACUAUGCACGUCUUGACGGUACCUAAUCAGAAAGCCACGGCUAACUACGUG